ensembl:lncRNA LINC01123 long intergenic non-protein coding RNA 1123
AGUAGCGCAGCGAGAAGGAUCGCCAUCACACGGCGCACUGGUGCGGCUUCUCCCCCGAGUGGAUGAACAUGUGCUUGGUGUCGUUUUUCCUUGAGCUGAACGUCUUGCAACAGUGGCCGCACGCAUAGCUGCCCCAGAUCCCGGAAGAAAAUCUCUCCCACACCACUGUAGUCAGAGAGGCCAGUGGGUGCAUGGAACUCCUCGCACGCGCUGUCAGCAGCAGCAGUGAGGAAGCCGGCAGCACAGUCUGGGAAGGAAGGAGGUGCUUGGCUCUCUCCCGGGCCGCCACCUUCGCCGUCCUCGCCAUCGGUCUCAUCGUCAGUUUCCUCGUCAUCGUUGUCACCUCGGUCGUCAGGGGCCGCGGACAGUGAGGGGUAGGCACCAAGCCCCUCGGCUUUGGCAGGUGUCGGGGGCGCAGGCAGCUGCAAACUCGCGGGCCGGCGCUGCUUACCGCUGUGCGCGGCACCGGGGUGCCCCGGGGGUGCGCAGCCAGCAGGUGGCGCAGGCGGUGACGCAGCUGCUCAGGUGCGAGUGGCGGGGGCACAGGGGUGGGCAGGGGCGCGGGUGCAGAGGUGCUCGCGGGUGCAGAGGAGCGCGUGCGAUAAUCUGCGUGCAUUCGUCGAUAACUGUCUAUGCGAAGCACCGACGCAGCCAUGAGUACCUGCGGGGCUUCACUCUGUGCCACAACGAGCGAACCGCUGUACAGGAGCUCGACUAGCUGUCGCACCGUCUGCACAGGCACCACCGAAGGCACACGGAUCUCAGAGGGGCCGAGCAGCAGCUUGUCUUGGAAGGAGGGCGAGCCGAUUGCCAGCCCGCAGCGGUGCGCACGCAGCGAAGCUUCAUGAAUGCACACAGUCACGUCGCAGAAGUGCCCACCCAGCUUCUGCCCAUUGAGGGUCUCAAGCAGAGAGCGUGAGAAGUUCUGCAGAUGUAUGUGGCGCACAGCCUCUACAGCCGCCGACUCCGACUCCUCUUCAGGCACCAGGCCUGGCCGUGGCCGCCUUCUCACCGACUCCAAGGCAGCACUUCCGGGCGCUUCUCUUUAUUUUUAUACAGUUUUAUUGAGAUAUAAUUUACAUGCUAUCCAGCCCAUCUAUUUCAAGUGUACCAUGCAAGGGGUUUGUAUAUAUUCACAGAGUUGUGUAUCCAUCACCAUCGUUUUAGAACAUUCAUCACUCCAGAAGAAACUACGUACCCAUCAGCAGCCACUGCCCAUUUCCCUGAUCUGCCCCGCCCUAGGAAAUCCGUAAUCACUUUCAGUCUAUGGAUUUGCCUAUUCUAGACCAUUCAUAUAAAUGAAGUCACACAACACUGGGUCUUAUGUGACUGGCUUCUAUCAAAGUUUGCAAGGUUCAUUUAUGUUCAUGCUGAUGAUAUAAACUGGCUCAUUUGAUGCCAAGACUGACCAUCACCACCAUACCAAGGUCAUCACUGAUCAGAGGCCUAACCCAAGGAGGGGGUCAUGUGCAGACCCAGCUGUGGGGAGGAAAGAUGCUGCAGAGGAGACGGAUGCCCACAGAGGCCCCUGAGUGGAUACAAUGCUCACUAAGUGGGCUGACCCCACAUUGGACACCGCUGCAUCCAUGUCCAUCACACAACACAGCUGCCGUUUCUUCUGCCUGCUUAUGGGAAAGUCCCCUCUUCUCCUCCGUUUUCUUCUCUUCCUGCCCUAUCACACCGUGCACUUCUCCCUUUCCUUAAAGAACCACCAUCAACUUUAGGAGGAGGGAAAGGGGUGGCUCUGGCAGGAAAAGCCAGAAUCCCCUCUAGCCAGCAGAGAGAGAGAGGAAUGGCUGCAUGUUUUCUCCCCCAGUCCAAGGCACUGGGUCUUGGCUGGGUUGAAGGUUCCAAGCUGCUCUCCUGCUGUGUCGGUGAGUUCUGGUCAACCUGCAACCUCCUGAUAUGGCCAUUGCAGUUCAUCGAGUCUUCAGGGACUCCCCAUGGCCUGGAGUACUUUGCCUUGCUUACACGGGAGAGGAGAAUGGAUUUAUAGAGAACAUCAUCUAAAUCCAACUUGACCAUUGUGUGGCCACACUUGCUAGAUUGCUAUAGUCUAAAUCUAGCAUUGUAGAAAGACGGGGGAGCUUGGAGCUGCACAAACCCAGGUCUGGAACUGGCUCCUUACCUUGGAAGGUGAAUGAUCCUGCCAGGACUCUUAGCCUCCCUGGGUCUCAAUUUCUUUAUCUGUUUCAUGGGAAUGAGGAUCUCUGCUGGGUGGUUGGGUGAUGUGGGGGCUGUGUGAAAACAGCUUGUCAAUACAAGCCAAAAUAGAAAUAUUUCUCCACAGAGUAUGAAGGUCAAAUGAGAGAAUACAUUUAAAUUAAAUGGAAAAUUAAAAUGGUAAAAAAUGCAAAGCUGUAUUGAAAGUUCCGAGCUUCUCUAUAAGGAGCUUUUUGACUAUGGAAGAAUCCUGUACUCGUUCCCCCUAAAUAU